GACGAACGCUGGCGGCGUGCCUAACACAUGCAAGUCGAACGGAAAGGCCCUGCUUUUGUGGGGUGCUCGAGUGGCGAACGGGUGAGUAACACGUGAGUAACCUGCCCUUGACUUUGGGAUAUCUUCAGGAAACUGGGGAUAAUACCGGAUAGGAGCUCCUGCUGCAUGGUGGUGGUUGGAAAGUUUCGGCGGUUGUGGAUGGACUCGCGGCUUACCAGCUUGUUGGUGGGGUAGUGGCUUACCAAGGCUUUGACGGGUAGCCGGCCUGAGAGGGUGACCAGCGACAUUGGGACUGAGGUACGGCGCAGUCUGCAACGGUAGGCAGCAGUGGGGAAUAUUGCACAAUGAGCGGGAGCGUGAUGCAGAAGCGCCGCGUGCGGGAAGACGGCCUUCGGGUUGUAAACCGCUUUCGCCUGUGACGAAGCGGGAGUGACGGUAAUGGGUAAAGAAGCACCGGCUAACUACGUG
rnacentral:rRNA from 1 species